rnacentral:rRNA from 1 species
GACGAACGCUGGCGGCGUGCUUAACACAUGCAAGUCGAGCGGUAAGGCCCUUUCGGGGGUACGACGAGCGGCGAACGGGUGAGUAACACGUGGGUGACCUGCCCUCAGCUCUGGGAUAAGCCUGGGAAACUGGGUCUAAUACCGGAUAUGACUCCAUGACGCAUGUUGGUGGGGUGGAAAGCCUUGUGCGGCUGAGGAUGGGCCCGCGGCCUAUCAGCUUGUUGGUGGGGUGAGGCCUACCAAGGCGACGACGGGUAGCCGGCCUGAGAGGGCGACCGGCCACACUGGGACUGAGACACGGCCCAGACUCCUACGGGAGGCAGCAGUGGGGAAUCUUGCGCAAUGGGCGAAAGCCUGACGCAGCGACGCCGCGUGAGGGAUGACGGCCUCGGUUGUAA